rnacentral:rRNA from 1 species
GUUUGGUUAAGUUAGAAAGGGCGCACGGUGGAUGCCUUGACACUAGGAGUCGAUGAAGGACGGGACUAACGCCGAUAUGCUUCGGGGAGCUGUAAGUAAGCUUUGAUCCGAAGAUUUCCGAAUGGGGAAACCCACCAUACGUAAUGGUAUGGUAUCCUUGCCUGAAUACAUAGGGUAAGGAAGACAGACCCAGGGAACUGAAACAUCUAAGUACCUGGAGGAAGAGAAAGCAAAUGCGAUUUCCUGAGUAGCGGCGAGCGAAACGGAACAUAGCCCAAACCAAGAGGCUUGCCUCUUGGGGUUGUAGGACAUUCUAUACGGAGUUACAAAG